rnacentral:rRNA from 1 species
ACGCUCGACACCUACGGGAGGCGGCAGUAGGGAAUCUUCCACAAUGGACGCAAGUCUGAUGGAGCAACGCCGCGUGAGUGAAGAAGGUCUUCGGAUCGUAAAACUCUGUUGUUAGAGAAGAACACGAGUGAGAGUAACUGUUCAUUCGAUGACGGUAUCUAACCAGCAAGUCACGGCUAACUACGUACCAGCAGCCGCGGUAAUCUGAGCGGGCUGGCAAGGC